AUAAAGUUUUAUUUUGGCUUAAAAAUUUAUUAUUAGUUUAAUUUAUAUGUAAAUUUUUGUAUGAGAUUUUAUUUAUUUUAAUAGUAGAUAAUUUUAUUAUAUCCGCAGUAAUUAAUAUUAUUUAUUAAAGAAAUUUAGAAAUAGUAAUAUUAAAAAGUAUUGACUAAAUUUGUGCCAGCAGUCGCGGUUAUACAAAUAAUACAAGUAAAUUUUGUUUUAAUUAAAGUUAGAUAGGAUAAAAUUAAAAAUAAAUAAAUUUAUUAAGUGAAAUUUUAAAUUUAUAUUUUUUAUUAAAUAAUUAAUUAAAGCUUAGAAAUUUUUGUAAUAAACUAGGAUUAGAUACCCUAUUAUUAAAAAUAUAAUUAAGAAGAUUAAGGUAGUAAUAGUUAUGUUCUUGAAACUUAAAAAAUUUGGCGGUAUUUUAGUCUAUUCAGAGGAACCUGUUCUGUAAUCGAUAUUCCACGAUGGACCUUACUUAAAUUUGUUUUUCAGUUUAUAUACCGUCGUUAUUAGAAUAUUUUAUAAGAAUGUUAAUUUUCAUAAUUUUGAAAUAGAAAAUAUAUCAGAUCAAGGUGUAGCUAAUAUUUAAGUAGAAAUGGGUUACAAUAAAAUUAUUUAAAUGGAUAUAAAUUUGAAAUAUUUAUUGAAGGUGGAUUUGAUAGUAAAAUUAUAAAGAUUAUUAAUUUGAUUUUAGCUCUAAAAUAUGUACACAUCGCCCGUCACUCUUAUUAUUAAGGUAAGAUAAGUCGUAACAUAGUAGAUGUACUGGAAAGUGUCUCUAGAAUGCAA
rnacentral:ncRNA from 1 species